rnacentral:rRNA from 1 species
UGGGGAAUUUUGCACAAUGGGGGAAACCCUGAUGCAGCGACGCCGCGUGAUUUAGAAGGCCUUCGGGUUGUAAAAAUCUUUUGUAUGGGAAGAAAAUGACAGUACCAUACGAAUAAGGACCGGCUAAUUACGUGCCAGCAGCCGCGGUAAUACGUAAGGUCCGAGCGUUGUCCGGAAUCAUUGGGCGUAAAGGGUACGUAGGCGGAUAAGCAAGUUAGAAGUGAAAUCCUAUAGCUCAACUAUAUAAAGCUUUUAAAACUGCUAGGCUUGAGAGAUGGAAGGGAAAGUGGAAUUCCUAGUGUAGCGGUGAAAUGCGCAGAUAUUAGGAAGAAUACCGGUGGCGAAGGCGACUUUCUGGUCAUCAUCUGACGCUGAGGUACGAAAGCGUGGGUAGCAAACAGG